rnacentral:rRNA from 1 species
UGCGCAGGCGGGCUUGUAAGUCAGUGGUGAAAUACUGCCGCUUAACGGUAGAACUGCCAUUGAUACUGCGAGUCUUGAAUAUGGUUGAGGUAGGCGGAAUGUGGUGUGUAGCGGUGAAAUGCAUAGAUAUGACACAGAACGCCAAUUGCGAAGGCAGCUUACUAAGCCAUUAUUGACGCUGAGGCACGAAAGCGUGGGGAGCGAACAGGAUUAGAUACCCUGGUAGUCC